UACGGGGGGGCAAGCGUUGUUCGGAAUUACUGGGCGUAAAGGGCUCGUAGGCGGCCAACUAAGUCAGACGUGAAAUCCCUCGGCUUAACCGGGGAACUGCAUCUGAUACUGGAUGGCUUGAGUUCGGGAGAGGGAUGCGGAAUUCCAGGUGUAGCGGUGAAUGCGUAGAUAUCUGGAGGAACACCGGUGGCGAAAGGCGGC
rnacentral:rRNA from 1 species